UCCAUCUGCCUUGAAGCCAGGCUCACAGAAGGCAGUGAACAUCAAUGCUGAUAAAGUUGAGUAUCUACAGGGAUGUGAAGCAGCCAAUUUUUGGGGAGAGCAUGGCAUAGCAGGAACACAGCAUAAACUAUGGAGGGGCAGCCUCCUCCUGUCCCAGACAGCACAAUGCCAUGAUUCCAGUGACAGACUACAUUUGGCUCCCAAUUUCACAAGAAACCAGGGAAGAUGAGCUAGCCAGCCAGGAGCUCACAUCUCACCAGGACAAGAAGCCCAUGGGAAGGACAAGAAUUCAUGUGAUGCGAAGGGACAUCUUUCCUACGUUAAGCUGAUGACCAACGUCAUUC